CCUACGGGAGGCAGCAGUGGGGAAUAUUGGGCAAUGGGCGCAAGCCUGACCCAGCAACGCCGCGUGAAGGAAGAAGGCUUUCGGGUUGUAAACUUCUUUUGUCAGGGACGAAGCAAGUGACGGUACCUGACGAAUAAGCCACGGCUAACUACGUGCCAGCAGCCGCGGUAAUACGUAGGUGGCAAGCGUUAUCCGGAUUUACUGGGUGUAAAGGGCGUGUAGGCGGGACUGCAAGUCAGCUGUGAAAACCACGGGCUCAACCUGUGGCCUGCAUUUGAAACUGUAGUUCUUGAGUACUGGAGAGGCAGAUGGAAUUCGUAGUGUAGCGGUGAAAUGCGUAGAUAUGAGGAGGAACACCAGUGGCGAAGGCAGUCUGCUGGACAGCAACUGACGCUGAGGCGCGAAAGCGUGGGGAGCGAACAGGAUUAGAUACCCUAGUAGUC
rnacentral:rRNA from 1 species